rnacentral:rRNA from 1 species
AAUGGGGGGAACCCUGAUCCAGCCAUGCCGCGUGUGUGAAGAAGGCCUUUUGGUUGUAAAGCACUUUAAGUGGGGAGGAGGCUUACCUGGUUAAUACCUGGGCUAAGUGGACGUUACCCACAGAAUAAGCACCGGCUAACUCUGUGCCAGCAGCCGCGGUAAUACAGAGGGUGCGAGCGUUAAUCGGAUUUACUGGGCGUAAAGCGCGCGUAGGUGGUUAAUUAAGUCAAAUGUGAAAUCCCCGAGCUUAACUUGGGAAUUGCAUUCGAUACUGGUUAGCUAGAGUAUGGGAGAGGAUGGUAGAAUUCCAGGUGUAGCGGUGAAAUGCAUAGAUAUUACUUAGAACACCAAUUGCGAAGGCAGGUUACUAAGCAACAACUGACGCUGAUGGACGAAAGCGUGGGGAGCGAACAGGAUUAGAUACCCUGGUAGUCCACGCCGUAAACGAUGCUAACUCGUUUUUGGAAUGUAAGUUUCAGAGACUAAGCGAAAGUGAUAAGUUAGCCACCUGG